UAAUACAAUUUCAUAAAGGGUACACCUCACGCCCGGAUGCAAGGUGUAAAAAAGGGGAAGCUGGUGAAAGUCCAGCGCUGUCCCGCAACGGUAACACGAUUGGUGGAGCCCGACAACCUGCCCUUUAUGUCCCAAACAAC
rnacentral:ncRNA from 1 species